UACAGAGGUCUCAAGCGUUGUUCGGAUUCAUUGGGCGUAAAGGGUGUGUAGGUGGCGCGCUAAGUCGGGUGUGAAAUUUCGGAGCUUAACUCCGAAACUGCAUUCGAUACUGGCGUGUUUGAGGACUGGAGAGGAGACUGGAAUUCAUGGUGUAGCAGUGAAAUGCGUAGAGAUCAUGAGGAAGACCAGUGGCGAAGGCGGGUCUCUGGACAGUUCCUGACACUGAGACACGAAGGCCAGGGGAGCAAACGGG
rnacentral:rRNA from 1 species